rnacentral:rRNA from 1 species
CGAGUGGCGGACGGGUGAGUAAUGUCUGGGAAACUGCCUGAUGGAGGGGGAUAACUACUGGAAACGGUAGCUAAUACCGCAUAACGUCGCAAAACCAAAGAGGGGGACCUUCGGGCCUCUUGCCAUCGGAUGUGCCCAGAUGGGAUUAGCUAGUAGGUGGGGUAACGGCUCACCUAGGCGACGAUCCCUAGCUGGUCUGAGAGGAUGACCAGCCACACUGGAACUGAGACACGGUCCAGACUCCUACGGGAGSAGCAGUGGGAAUAUUGCACAAUGGGCGCAAGCCUGAUGCAGCCAUGCCGCGUGUAU